CCUGGCUCAGAUUGAACGCUGGCGGCAUGCCUUACACAUGCAAGUCGAACGGCAGCACGGGGGCAACCCUGGUGGCGAGUGGCGAACGGGUGAGUAAUACAUCGGAACGUGUCCUGUAGUGGGGGAUAGCCCGGCGAAAGCCGGAUUAAUACCGCAUACGCUCUACGGAGGAAAGGGGGGGAUCUUAGGACCUCCCGCUACAGGGGCGGCCGAUGGCAGAUUAGCUAGUUGGUGGGGUAAAGGCCUACCAAGGCGACGAUCUGUAGCUGGUCUGAGAGGACGACCAGCCACACUGGGACUGAGACACGGCCCAGACUCCUACGGGAGGCAGCAGUGGGGAAUUUUGGACAAUGGGCGAAAGCCUGAUCCGAGCAAUGCCGCGUGUGUGAAGAAGGCCUUCGGGUUGUAAAGCACUUUUGUCCGGAAAGAAAACCUCCGCCCUAAUAUGGUGGGGGGAUGACGGUACCGGAAGAAUAAGCACCGGCUAACUACGUGCCAGCAGCCGCGGUAAUACGUAGGGUGCAAGCGUUAAUCGGAAUUACUGGGCGU
rnacentral:rRNA from 1 species